rnacentral:tRNA from 1 species
UCUGGUAGCAAGUACUCUACUACUGUCUG